UUGAAACACCAUUUCCCAUACGAUUACCGAAGUUAAGAAACAUUGAGUCUGGUUAGUACCUAGAUGGGUGACUACUUGGGAAUACCAGAUGCU